UUCUACAAAAUGCUUCCUAGAAUUAUAUUUUGCUUUGCAGUUCUUUUAGCCAUUCUGGUUGUUAUUCUUUCGGCCUUGCUCUCACCGGUAGCCCACAAAAAGGCAGCAAAUAACCCAUCUAAACCUUGGCUGGCCCUGUCCUUGUACAUCCAGCAGCCACAUAUUUCAAUCUCCAGCAUCCCAACUGUUGCCCAGUCAGAUACCGGAGCCUUUAUCUUUCACCGCGCACUCACGGAGGGACCUGAGAACACGUCCCAUGUAGUUGGAAAAGCACAAGGCUUCAUUAUUCCGAUUGAACAUUUUGCUAAUUCUGCAUUCAACAUAAUUUAUCUCACUUUUGAGACACCUCAGUUUUCUGGGAGUCUAAGCGUCCAGGCCAAGCAUGUUGAAAGGAAGGAUAGAGAAGAAUUAACAGUGGUUGGAGGAACAGGUUCUUUUGCAUUUGCACGUGGGAUUGCAGUUUUUGCGCAGACUGAUUCCCAGUCAUCUGAAGCUGAUGCUACUUAUCAUGGAAAGCUUCAGCUUAGAUUUCCCAAUAGAUCUCAGACAAUUCCAGGAUGAGGCAAAGCCAGAAUCAUCUGUUUGAGAUUUUUUUUUUUUUAUUUUUUCCAUUUUUUCUUAUCUCCAAAGGUCUGUUGUAGUUCAAAGUGAGACUUAAUAUUAUUGUACCAACAGAUAACUUAUACUAAUCGUUUAUAAAUAGCUCCAAAUUUUUAUUGACAAAUUGACUAAAGUAUGAGAAUCAACCCAGCAAAAUUAAGAUGCCCCAACUGCUGAAAGGUAUUGAUAUACUUAACACCGCAAACUUGCCCAAAGCUUACCCUUUAUACCUUUUAAGAUUUUCAUUUUUUCCAAUCUAAUUAACAGCUGUGUGGCUAUACAAACAUAUACCAGUGAUGCUACAAAAAGAACAAGUUACCAAAAGAAUGAAAGGUUUGUCUCUUCUUCUCAAUCUUCUUUCUCCUGUAAAUGUUUUCGACUACCUAUCUCCCAUGGUACUGCCAACUGAAAGCCUCGAGAGAAGGAAUAUACAAGCUGAGGAAAUCAAUACAGCCCCAGCAAAGCAGGCAAGAUCGAAGCUAGUAACAAUAGGUAUACUCUUGAAUUUCUCCAAAACACCAACUUGAAGUAUCAUCAUCACAGCAUGCCCGAUUUUUGACUUUGCUUGUGAAACUGAUUUCAUUUCAACCCAAGCCGGAAGUGUCUGAAAGAAUCAUACAUAAAUCUUGUAAAUUGCUUGAUGGUUUGUUCUUGGUAUAACAAAGGAGUAUAAAAGAAAUUAAGUUGAAUACCUUCAAAUGGGAGAGCCCAAACAAGUUCGACCUUGGAAGCGAGGGAGCACCUCCUUUCAUAGUCUUUGAUCCCACAAACAUGAUGUACAGCCCCAUCCCAAAAAUAAGCAUGCCGGUUCCAACCAAGAACAUAUCUGCGAAGAAUAGAAAAUUUAACAAUUAAAUAAUAUUACUUAACUCAAUAAUGAACUUUGCAGUAUAAUACCUAUGGCUUCUAUCAGAAGGUGGAUGAUAUGUUCUUGAUCUGACUUUUGUGAUAAGCUAUAGAAAUACUGCAAAUAUGACUUCAGAAUAAGAAAGCCUCCCUGCAGGAUUGAUGUCAUUUUCAUAGUUAAAUACGAUCUUACUCCUAUAUAAAACAAACAGAACAAAGCCUAAGGUUUUUUUUUUUUUUUUUUAUUGUUGAAAGCAUGCAAUUACCUCCAUGAAACACAGUAUUGAUCCAAGCAAAGAUCCCGCAACAGCAAAUAUGGUAAAGAAUCGACAAUCAACUAUGACCUGCAUGCAGGAUUGCAGCUGAUAAAUUUAAUUGUUCCGUUUGCAAAUGACUAAACAUAUGAAAAGUUAAAGCUCUUCAAUGACGGGGUAUAUAUAACUGACAAGAGUAUUAUACCUUUUCAAUGAGCAUCUGAACGUGAAAUUUCGAAGGUCUUGGUUUCACAACCGGCCUCAAAACCUGACGCAUAACAUUAAUAGCAUUUGCGAGCAAUGAUGCCAACUCUCUUCCCCAGUCAACCUGUGGCUUUGAUAUGACCACACCACUCUCCGCUGCUGCCACAGAAGCCUUCACAGCCACCGUUGGUUUUCUCUCAUCACCCCCACAAGCUCUUUUCCCCCCAUCUAGCCCUACCUUACUUGUACACCUCACAGUUUUCACCGACGAAGAGGGCCAAUAAGAAGAAGCAGCAAAAAUGCGACCCAAAGGCUUGUUAGAUGAACGCAACAAUCUAGUGGUAGCCAUUGUUCUUUGGCUUUAGAAAAUUGGAAGUCUUUUGAAACUUGUUUUGAUUCUUGUAAUUGGUGGGGUGUUUCUAUUCAUUUUAUACCAUGAAAUCGAAGAAGAUUCGCAUCAUACUAGUUGUAAUUGUCGCUACAUGGGAAGCGCCUUUUUUCCACUUUUUCUUGGAGAGUUAGGCUUUGAAUUGUUGGUAUAGACAUCUGACAAACAAUUACAAAGUUGAUAAGCCCAAAAUGCAAUUCUUAAUUUCUAUGCGUGUGGCCCACUUUAGCUGUGAACCGAACACGUGUCAACCUGUAUCUUUAGGGGUCUGUUUGCUUUUUCAUUUUUUAAAAGUACGGAACGGGCUGCUUGCUUGGCUUCGCUUGCUGUUUCGUGCUUCCCUCCAGGAAUUAUAGUCGGCGGCAACACGUCCUGAUUAGUAAUGAGAGGAGCAAAUCAAACAGCACAGGGAUCUUGUUUUGUCCUUGAGUCUUUGGUUGUCUAACUCACUACCGUUAGUUCACUUUUCACUUUGUCUGUCACAUUAACCACCGUUGAUUCACUCUUCAUCAGGUUGCGAUCUACAGGUUUUUUUUAUGCCUACAUAGAAUAUUUGUUACACAAUAAAAAGAGGAACAAGACAUUCUUUCUCUGUGACUUCCAUGAAACAUCUCAGAUUCUGUCGUAUUGUUAAAGUUAUUUCAUGAAUUUUAAGGAAAAUAUCUGCAAAAUUUUUCAUUCCUGGAAGGUCAAGGGAGGUAGAUUUUUGUUUUAUCCUCCAAAGAAGAGUAAUUUGAAUGGUUGAAACUUGAAUGUUUGAAUACCCAGAGCAGUAUGCGGUGAUCAUUGGGUCAAAACCCAAAAGGCUGCGUAGAAAGAUCAACGCAGAAGUUGCAUCACUGUUACAGAGUAUGAAUUAGAGAGGUUGAACGUAGAAAAGAAUUUGCAAGAAGCAACUUCAAUCCAAUAUAAUUCAUCAACAGAUGAAUUUUCAAACAAAAUCAGGCAGAUGGGAAAGAAAACCUUUUAUACCUGGAGAUAUCAACGAUAGCCCCAUGGCCGUGAACCAAACCAUGAGCCCAAAAUUCAACAAGAAACAAAUGCCAUUUCAUGCAAAUCACAUCGGAAUUUGGAACUCCACCCGUAAAGGAGUCAGGGGAUUAAUUAAAAAUGAACGUGCCUCAGAAAUUGAGAAAAUCACAUAGACAAACUUUUUUUGCUAUUAAGAUGCGGCUCAAAAGUGCUUGAGACUCUAUCACAGGAAAGGCCUCAGAAAAUAAAAGGUCUUUGAUAUUAUCAUCGCCGCAAAUUCCUGUAAUCUAAAAUCUUAUCUGCUUGUGCAAUUCAAACCCAUAAAUCUAAUCUGCAGACACACAUGAAUAGAGAAAGAAUAAGGUUAAAAACUUAGAAGUCUAUUCUUCACAUUUUUCAGAACAAGAUAUGGUUUCAUUAGGAAAAGCUUUUAUUUUUCUCUUCAUUUCAUAAAAUUUCUUGGAAAUCAAACAAAACACGCAUCGUAGAAAAAACCCACCAAUUGCUCCCAUCAAUCACCUACACUGUAAAUAAAAUGCAGCCGAAGCAGCUAAUUGAUGCACUUCCAGAUGUUUUUAUUUUCAGUGUUUUUCAUCAGUUAGCUUUAUACCUAGUCCAUACUCUAUACUCCGUUAGGGGCAUAGAAGUUAGGGCUCCUCUGCUAUCAACUGAAAGUACAAAAUAGUCCAGAAGUCAGCAAGUGAAAUGUCUUACUUAACCCCCAACGAUCCAGAUACAUCUGCACCGUCCUUUGUACUUUGGUUUCUUGGCUUUCGGAGGGUAAUUCGCAUGACUUACUUAAAAAAGUUACAAACUUGAGCGAAAUUUAGGAGAGAUUUACUUACGGAUUGAUGAGAUAAACGACGAUGAUUGGACGAUUUGAACUUUGGGACAGGAAAUCCGAGAAAAACGGAUUGCAGUUCCAAUUUUUUAAGGGUUUUAGUUCGAUGAAGUUGCUGGUUGUAACAGCACCUCUUAAACACCCCAAGUACGCCCAAGGUACGAGGUGGUUCUUCAGUUGCAGAGUUGGGUAAGCCGUUCGACACAAACUGACAAACAAACUAGGCCCUUUGAUUAGAUUAUUAUAUCGGCUUACUUACAACAAUGUAGGGGUAACAACUGUUCAGGCCUUGCUCCACUAUUUCCCCAAACAUUAUAAAGGCUGAGGCUGAUUUUUUAUAACAGGGCCCAACAAUUAUACAAGGUUUUGAUCACGCGUCUGCCUGUUUGUUUUAGCUGUACUCUUUUCGUCUGUCACCGAAUUUUCGUGUCAACAAGUCCCGAUAACAGUAUUGUGAUACACUAAAGGCAGAAAAAGACAUUAAUGGGAACAUUUUAAUUCGUGUCGAUAAAUACAUACACAAGGUAGGGAGCUCUUAGAAACUAUGAAGAGGGACAAAACUCUGGUACUGCAUUGAUGACACCAAAGUAAUAACAGGCCGAGAUGAAGUUGAAAUCUGAAGAAAGAGUGGCUUCUGGUUAAUGGGUUGCAUUGCUCAGCAAACUGUCCGACGAAAGCUUUGUUCACUCAACCAUGGGCCUUGGACUGAAACUUGUGAAUUAUCCUUCAAUUUUUUCAUCAAGUUCACAGAGCCAACAUUAGUCAUCUGAAGCAUAAAUAGGCUUCUAUUUUCCAGUCCAAACUUCUUAUUAACUGCCAUGCUCAGUGGUUGCUCGCUUAGAUUGGAUGAGGAAGAGCAAGGAGAUACCUCUGAUGAAGCUGCACAAGUAAUUUCUUCUGUAGAAACCCAUCUACUUAGCCUGAUUUGUUCCAAUUCUGCUGCUACUUCUAUCAUUGUAGGUCUCAUGUCCCUGUGAAAUGAUAAGCAUCUAAAAGCCAGCUCUGCCACCUUGUAGAUUGAAGAUAAUGUCCAAGAAUCACUAUUUGGCUCUAGUAAUGGGUCAAUGAUCUCAUCUAAACGCCCCUUGCUAAUUCUGUCAAUAGCAACAGCUGCCAAAUUAACUGCAUUUGGAGGCCUAGAAAAGUCCACCACUUUUAAUGCUGUUAUGAUCUCAAUGAGAACUACCCCAAAACUAUAAACAUCGCUUUUGUCUGAAAGAUGGAAGUUUUGAUGGUACUGAGGAUCGAGGUAUCCUGGAGUUCCUUGAGGGGCUGUUGAGAUGUGGGAUAUUUCAGUCCUUCCAAGUCUAGAAAGACCAAAAUCUGCUACUUUGGACCCGAAAUUGUAAUCAAGGAGUAUGUUGCUAGACUUGAUGUCUCUGUGGUAUAUUGGGGGAUCUAUAGCAGAGUGCAGAUGAGCAAUGGCUUGUGCAGUUUCAGCAGCAAUUGUAAGGCGAACUGGCCAAGCAAGUUCAUCACCUCUCUCUCUUUGUAAAUGCUGGCAUAAUGUUCCAUUAGGCAUAAACUCAUACACAAAGUAUUUGUUCACCAUUUUCUAUGGAGCAACCCAAGAGGCGCACUAGAUUUGGGUGGCUGACAGAUGAAAUUAGCUUGAUUUCAUUCCUUACUUGCCACUCAGUGUCUCUCUGCUUGAUUCUUUUAAUAGCAACCCGGGCAUUCACCCUUCCGACGUCCCAGAUCAGCUUUCCUGUCACGUUUCACACCCUUGUGAGGUAUUGUCCGUUCUGGCCCCUAGCCUCACGAUUUUGUCCUACAAAAAAUGCCUCACAAGGAAGAGAUGGUGUGAACCCUUUUAUACCCCAAUGACCCUCCUAUUAUGUUCGAUGUGGGAUUCAAGACUCCCCCUUAGGUCCGUGACAUUCUCCCGCACCCAACCUCGUGACGUCCUCGUCACGGAGGCUGGCCACCCUGCCUACUUCCCUCGAGGUGCUUGGCGUGGAUCGAACUGUUUGGGGCUGGCUCUGAUACCACUUGUCACGGGUCGAGACUUAAGCUCCGAACCCACGCGGCUUUGGGACCCGAGCAUUCACUCAUCCGGUGUCCCAGAUCAGCCUUCCCGCCACGGUUCACACCCUUGUGAGGUAUUGUCCGCUCUGGCCCCCCCCUGGCCUCACGGUUUUGUCCUACAAAAGACGCCUCACAAGGAAGAGAUGGUGUGAACCCUUUUAUACCCUAGUGACCCUCCUAUUAUGUUCCAUGUGGGAUUCAGGACUCCCUCUUAGGUCCGUGACAUUUUCCGCACCCAACUUCGUGAUGCCCUCGUCACAGAGGCUGACCACCCUGCCUACCUCCCUCGAGGUGCUUGACGUGGAUCGAACGGUUUAGAGCUGGCUUUAGGGCUGUAAACGAGCCGAGCCGAAUAGUGAGAAGCUUGAGCUUGAGCUUGACUCACAACUCGGGGCUCGAUACUCGGCUCGAGCUCGAUCGAGUUUUAUUUUUGAAACUCGAGCUCCAUUCGUGAUCGAAUUCGAGCUACUCGAGCUCGCUCGAUUAAGCUCGAUUAAUAUGUAAAAAUAAGCUCGAUUCGUAUACUCGACAAGAGUUCGAUUAUUCAUGCUCGAACUCGAACUCGAACUCGGACUCGAAAUAUUUUAUUAAUUAAAAUAAUAAAAAUAUAUUUAAAUAUAAAAGCUCGAUUAGGCUCGCGAGCUACUCGAGUCAGAUAUAAGAAUACUCGAAUUCGACUCGAUCGAUAAGUCGAGCUACUCGAGCUCGACUUAAUAAUAAUCGAACCGAAUUCGAGUUUUUUUCGAAUUGAACCCGAGUAACUUGCGAGUACUAAUGUAUCAUUUACACCUUUAGUUGGCUCUGAUACCACUGUCACAGGUCGAGACUUAAGCUCCGAGCCCACGCGGCUCCGGGACUCGGGUAUUCACCCUUCCGACAUCCCAGAUCAGCCUUCCUGCCACGGUUCAUACCCUUGUGAGGUAUUGUCCGCUCUGGCCCCCCUUGCCUCACGAUUUUGUCCUACAAAAGGUGCUUCAUAAGGAAGAGAUAGUGUGAACCCUUUUAUACCCCAGUGACCCUCCUAUUAUGUUCGAUGUAGGAUUCAGGACUCUCCCUUAGGUCCGUGACAUUCUCCUGCACCCAACCUCGUGACGCCCUCGUCACGGAGGCUGGCCACCCUGCCUACCUCCCUCGAGGUGCUUGGCGUGGAUCAAACGGUUUAGGGCUGGCUCUGAUACCACUUGUCACGAGUCGAGACUUAAGCUCCAAACCCGCGCGGCUCUGGGACUCGGGCAUUCACUCAUCCGGCAUCUCAGAUCAGCCUUUCCGCCACGGUUCACACCCUUGUGAGGUAUUGUCCGUUUUGGCCCCCCUGACCUCACGAUUUUGUCCUACAAAAGGCAUCUCACAAGGAAGAGAUGGUGUGAACCUUUUUAUACCCUCAACUGUCACGGGCUCUGACCUUAGACUCAGAAAUCGUACGACCUUAAGCUUGGAAUCUCCUCCUUUGUGCCUAAGUCAGUCUAAAACACAAGCGUGCGGGCACUAGAACAAUGGGAAGGGCUGAUUACGUAAGUUAAAGAGAAACAGGAUGAACAAGACAGAAUUCUGGAAAUACUCUUGUAUUCACUGAAACAGAAGUGUUUGAUGGUGUACAAAUGAGGGUGGAGCAGCCCUCUAUUUAUAGUUGAGGCUCCAGCUAUAACUUAAUGGCAUAUCCCUAAAAUAAAGGCUAAAAUCAUGGGAUUAUAUAGAUUACAAUCAAUUAGGAUGCUAACUCCUGAUUUUUAGGGUCAACCAAAUUUGCCAAGAUGCUCUAGCUGAUCCUGCCUGCUUUCAGAAGCUUCCCUUGCAUGUCCAGCACCUUGGGCCCUUUUGGAUGUGGUGCGGGCAGCUUGUAUGCCAGGCCUUGGUCUCACAGGCUGGCCUGCAAGUCAGGCGGGCGUUCUGAACUCGUUUGCUAGGGUUUACGCACAAAUACCCGUCAGCACGCCUGGUGUCACGGUCCACGCGUUUCCCUUACUGAAAUCGCGCUACUGUGAGGCACCAAGACUACUCUUAGUCAAGGUCAGCCUUCACCAUGCCCAUUUUUCUUCGCGGACUGCCCAAAUCUGAUCCUUCAAGCCGCAUGCCCACGAGCCUUUUCUGGCUUUUAGCCCCGUAGGGUUGUUUAUUCCGAACUCUAUAAAGAGGAACCCAUCUCUCAUUACACAUCGGCUCAUGGUUCUCUACGUGACCAUGAGCACCUAGCUCUGGCCGCAAAGCUUAAUGAUUCGAGCCCCGACCCUCGAAUCUCGUAGGGGCACACAGCCCCGAUUCUCUUGAUGUUAUUACAUCUUGGCAUGGUGAGAACCCAACACCAUGCCCGCCCGUAUGAUACGUAAGCUCCCGUAUCAAGUUUACGCAAGCACCCCACUUAAGCUGGUCAGCAGUCAGUUCAGAGCCUUUAGGCUCCUCUCGCUCCAAGGGACUCAAUUCUUAGGGUUUAGGCCCUUAGCAUCAGUAUCGGCCGCCCACACACCUAACAUCAUGCUAGUCCCGCAAGGGGACUCAGGUGGACUGCCUCAGCUGCAGCACACCAGCCCAACUGGCCACAGGGGUCUAGUAACGUGCUUGCCUGCUAGCCCGCACAUCCUUUUGGCUCGAUGGUAUCCCUCCUACGUAAACACCAUCACAUGAUCCUUUCGGCUCGAGGAGGGGAAACCAAGGGGCCUAACGAUCUCUACCGUCCAACCUCAUGGUUCAACACAAAGGCGCGAUACGAGGCCCGUUGACCCCAACCACCCCUGGGUUUAUCGUGACCCAAAAAAAUAUCGUGCCACGCUCGUGACCCUACGAUGCCCGUCUACCUAACCACCACUAGUGACUAGGAGUAGCUCACUUCAGACUAGCCAGGCCCCCACCUACUCGUUAGCCAAGGGGGUGGUGGAGAUCUGACACCAGUCGUCCCCCUAUAAAGAACGUUAGAGAUUUUUCCAAUAUGCUACCAGUGACCGUAAGAAUGUCUGAAACGGGGACACUUUUCUGUCCAACCACCUCAGGGCCUUUCUCCGGCUAACUUAGGGCCCCGUAACCUUCUUCUUGGUCACCAUUGCUCCUUGAUUCUGCUCGUUGCUCCACCAACCCACUCGAAGGUGCCCGCACAUGGCUUCUACCGAUAGCACCUGUCUGACUAGCUGUUCCUAAGGCACCGGUGAAAUGCCUUAUACUUACCUGUAUAUCUCAGGGUUUAGUGCAUGGACCGUCCACACACAAUGUCCCUAACCUAUUCCCAUGUUCAGAACGCCCGCACACUGCUCCCACAGAUGGCACCCGUCAGGCUACUUGGCUUGAGGGUGUCCGACCACUGUCCCGAACUUCCCCGCGUAUAUUACGGCUCGGGGCUCCCAUUGCCCCCACAACAUGUUAGCAUCAUGUUUCAAAGCUCUGAACGCACGCCCGCAUUCCUUAGAACCGCUUUCCCAUCAGCUCGAUCUCGACCGCUGCUUGCUCCAGGGUCAGUCAUUGCAGGACCAAGGCUUGACCAUGACACCUGGUCUGCGGGCCUCAACCUCUGGCUCGCCUGCUGGUCCGCCUGAUGUGCCUGGCGCGCCCGUCCAGGGUGUGACAUUCUCCUACCUGAUUACGUAAUGCCCUCGUUACGUCUUCUGUAUGGUACUGCCUGAUCUGGUCUCGAACUGCCAUAAGUCAUCUGCUGGUUCCUACUCACCUCACUGUCUGAAAGUCCCUUCCAGCGCACCAAGUACUCAUGUCUUGGUUGAUAGUUCUUUCGUCUCACCUCCCGAUCAGCUAUGAUGCUGUGGACCUCCUUCUUAUAUGAGGUCCUUGCUUUCAAUGGCGCACGCUUUGACUCUGCCCGUUCUGGAUCUCUCUUAUCCUCAUAGAACGACUUGAGCAUGCUCACAUGGAACACCGGGUGUACCCUCGAUUUGGGUGGCAUAUCCAGCUUGUAAGACUCCUUCUUAGGUCCGUGACACCUUGCCUACCUCUCUCGAGGUGCUUGGCAUGGAUCGAACGGUUUAGGGCUGGCUCUGAUACCACUUGUCACGGGUCGAGACUUAAGCUCUGAACCCGCAUGGCUCCGAGACCCGAGCAUUCACCCUUUCGAUGUCCCAGAUCAGCCUUCCUGCCACGGUUCAUACCCUUAUGAGGUAUUAUCCGCUUUGACCCCCUGGCCUCAUAGUUUUAUCCUACAAAAAGUAUCUCACAAGACAUAGAUGGUUUGAACUGUGGCGGUCACUCUGAUUCGGGACUCCGAAAGGGUGAAUGCCUAGGUUUAGAAGCCGUGCGGGUUCGAAACUUAACUCUCGACCCAUGACAAAUGGUAUCAGAGUCAGCCCUAUACCGUUCGAUCCACGCCAAGCACCUUGAGGGAGGCAGGCAGGGUGGUCAGUCUCUGUGAUGAGGACGUCACGAGGUUGGGUACGGAAGAAUGUCACGGACCUAAGGGGAAGUCCUGAAUCUCACAUUGAACAUAAUAAAAGGGUUACUGGGGUAUAAAAGGGUUCACACCAUCUCCAUCUUGUGAGGUACCUUUUGUAGGAUAACACCGCGAGGGCAAGGGGGCCAGAGCGGAUAAUACCUCACAAGAGUGUGAACCAUGGCAGGAAGGCUAAUCUAAGACGUCGAAAGGGUGAAUGCCCGGGUCUCGGAGCCACGUGGGUUCGGAGCUAAGUCUCGUCACGGACCUAAGAAAGAGUCCUGAAUCCCACAUCAAACAUAAUAGGAGGAUCACUGGGGUAUAUAAGGGUUCACACCACCUUCGCCUUGUGAGGUACCUUUUGUAAGAUAAAAUCAUGAGGUCAAGGGGGCUAGAGCGGAUAAUACCUUACAAGGGUGAAACCGUGGUAGGAAGCUGAUCUGAGACGUCGAAAGGGUGAAUGCUCGGGUCCCACAGUCGCACGGGUUCAGAGCUUAAGUCUCGAUCCGUGACAAGUGGUAUCAGAGCCAGCUUUAAACCGUUUGAUCCACGCCCAAGCACCUCGAGAGAGGUAGGCAGGGUGGCCAGCCUCCGUGACAGGGACGUCACGAGGUUGGGUGCGAGAGAAUGUCACGGACCUAAGAAAGAGUCUUGAAUCUCACAUCGAACAUAAUAGGAGGGUCACUGGGGUAUAUAAGGGUUCACACCACCUUCGCCUUAUGAGGUACCUUUUAUAGGAUAAAACUGUGAGGUCAGAGGGACCAGAGCGGAUAAUACCUCACAAGGGGGUGAACCGUGGCAAGAAGGCUGAUCUGAGAUGUCGAAAGGGUGAAUGCUCGGGUCUCGGAGCCACGCGGGUUUGGAGCUUAAGUCUCGAUCCGUGACAAGUGGUAUAAGAACCAGCCCUAAAUCAUUCGAUCCACGUCAAGCACCUCGAGGGAGGUAGGCAGGGUGGCCAACCUCCGCGAUAAGGGCAUCACGAUGUUGGGUACGAGAGAAUAUAACGGACCUAAAGAGGAGUCAUGAAUCCUACAUCAAACAUAAUAUGAGGGUCACUGGGGUAUAUAAGGGUUCACACCACUUUCGUCUUGUGAGGCACCUUUUGUAGGAUAAAACCGUGAGGCCAGAGGGGGCCAGAACAGACAAUACCUCACAAGGGUGUGAAUCGUGGCGGUCAGGCUGAUUUGGGACGCCGAAAGGGUGAAUGCCUGAGUCUCGAAGUCACGCGAGUUCGGAGCUUGAGUCUCGACCCAUGAGAAGUGGUAUCAGAGCUAGCCCUAAACCGUUCGAUCCAUGCCAAGCACCUCGAGGGAGAUAGGCAGGGUGGCCAGCCUCCGUGACGAGGGCGUCACGAGGUUGGGUGCGAGAGAAUGUCACGGACUUAAGGAAGAGUCAUGAAUCCCACAUCGAACAUAAUAGGAGGGUCACUGGGGUAUAUAAAGGUUCACACUACUUUCGCCUUGUGAGGUACCUUUUGUAGGAUAAAAUUAUGAGGUCAUGGGGGCCAGAGCGGACAAUACCUCACAAGGGUGUGAAUCGUGGCAGGAAGGCUGAUCUGGGAACGGACCUAAAGUAGAGUCCUAAAUCCUAUAUCGAACAUAAUAAAAGGGUCACUGGGGUAUAAAAUGGUUCACACCACCGUCGUCUUAUGAGGCACUUUUUGUAAGAUAAAACCGUGAGGCCAGAAGGGGCCAGAGCGGACAAUACCUCAUAAGGGUGUGAACCGUGACAGUCAGACUGAUUCGAGACAUCAAAAAGGUGAAUACCCGGGUCUCGAAGCCGUACGAGUUUAGAGCUUGAGUCUCGACCUGUGACAAGUGGUAUCAGAGCCAGCCCUAAACCGUUCAAUCCACGCCAAGCACCUCAAGGGAGACAGGCAGGGUGGUCAGCUUCCGUGACGAGGGCGUCACGAGGUUGGGUGCGAAAGAAUGUCACGGACCUAAGGAAGAGUCUCGAAUCUCACAUCGAACAUAAUAGGAGGGUCACUGGGGUAUAAAAGGGUUCACACCACCUUCGUCUUGUGAGACGCCUUUUGUAAGAUAAAACCGUGAGGCCAGAGGGGGCCAGAGAGGACAAUACCUCACAAGAGUGUGAACCGUAAUGAUCAGGCUGAUUCGGGAUGCCGGAAGGGUGAAUGCCCUCGUCCCAGAGUCGCGUGAGUUCGGAGCUUGAGUCUCGACCCAUGACAAGGAGGGUCACUGGGGUAUAUAAGGGUUCACACCACUUUCGCCUUGUGAGGCACCUUUUGUAAGACAAAACCGUGAGGCCAAGGGGGCCAGAGCAGACAAUACCUCACAAGGGUGUGAACCGUGACAGUCAGAUUGAUUCGAGACAUCAGAAAAGGUGAAUGCCCGGGUCCCAGAGUCACGCGAAUUUGGAGCUUAAGUCUCGACCCGUGACAAGUGGUAUCAGAGCCAGCCCUAAAUCGUUCGAUCCACGCCAAGCACCUCAAGGGAGGCAGGCAUGGUGGACAGCCUUCAUGAUGGAGAAUGUCACGGACCUAAGAAAGAGUCCUGAAUCUCACAUCGAACAUAAUAGGAGGGUCACUGGGGUAUAAAAGGGUUCACACCAUCUCUUCCUUGUGAAGCGUCUUUUGUAGGAUAAAACUAUGAGGCCAAGGGGGGCCAGAGCGGACAAUACCUCACAAGGGUGUGAACCGUGGCGAUCAGGCUGAUCUGGGAUGCCGGAAGGGUGAAUGCCCGGGUCCUAGAGCCGCGCGGGUUCAGAACUUAAGUCUCGACCCGUGACAAGUGGUAUCAGAGCCAGCCCUAAAUCGUUCGAUCCACGCCAAGCAUCUCGAGGGAGGUAGGUAGGGUGACCAGCCUCCGUGACGAGGGCGUCACGAGGUUGGGUGAGAGAGAAUGUCACGGACCUAAGGAAGAGUCCUGAAUCUCAUAUCGAACAUAAUAGAAGGGUCCUUGGGGUAUAACAUGAUUCACACCACAUUCGCAUUGUGAGGCACCUUUUGUAGGACAAAAUCGUGAGGCCAAAGGGGCCAGAGCGGAUAAUACCUCACAAGGUGUGAACCAUGACAGGAAGACUGAUCUGAGACGCCGGAUGAGUAGAUGACCGGGUCUCGAAGCCACGUAGGUUCGGAGCUUAAGUCUCGACCCGUGACACAGUAACAUAUUGUUAAUACCUUAAAGCUGGUUCUAAUAUUAUUUGUCACGGGUCAAAAUUCAAGUUAGAUUAACUUAAAUGUCAGGCUAAACGUUAUUGUCCACACUAAUUUAUAAGAUAUUAUCCGCUUCGACUUAUUGAACCUUAUGAUUUUAUUCUAAAAGAACACUUCAUCAAUUCAAAGUGAUGUGAAUAUUUAUAUUUUAUUAUCAAUUUUAAUACAUAACCGAUGUGAAAUUUUUAACUCUUUCAUGAGAUCGUGAUAUUAGGGAUAGAACGGUUAAAUAUAUGAUGAACUUAGUUUUUUAGGCUUGAACUGAUUAACAUUUCCUGUUUCAAAAACUCAAGAAAUCCAUAUUAAAAAAAAUAAUAAAAACCAACAGUUGUAAAACGUUCAACUGUAAGAAUGACGGUUGAAAUCAUGACAAAAAAUGGCUCUUUCUACAUCUUCCGUUACGUCAUCCCUUUCUUCCCUCUCAUUUUCCUCUCAAAUUUCCGGGAAUCUAAACAGCAUCUCAAUUCCCCAACCACCGAAAUCACUCCCCAUUUCUCUUUUCUCUAAAACCACCCGUUCCCUCUCCAUAGCCUUCACCAUGGCAGCCCCUCCUGAAUCAAAACCCGUAGAAAACCUUAAGAAGUAUGUUAAGACCAGGUGGCUUCGUGGCUCAGACUAUCAUAGGAACAGGCCACCGUAAAUGCGCCAUUGCACGCGUGGUUCUCCAGGAAGGUACCGGAAAGUUUAUCAUCAACUAACGCGAUGCCAAGCUAACUUUUAGCCUUCGGUUUCUGGGUUAUGUUUAGGCGUUAAUUUCUGCAGGAGUAUCAUCAGGGGAAUCCGUUAUGGCUGCAGUACAUAAAAGUUCCAUUGGUGAUAUUGUGGCAUGAGACGAGUUACGAUGUAAUUGUUAAAGCUCGUGGGGUAGGCCUUUCAGGACAGGCUCAAGCAAUCUCCCUCGGCAUUGCUCGUGCAUUGCUGAAUGUGAGUGAGGACCAUAGAAGCCCGUGAGUGGGUUGAAAGGUUAGUGGGUUCAAGAAGGCUCGCAAAGCUCUAUAGCACGGAUUUAAAUUACGGUGGCAGUCAAAUUGUUGGUUGUAUAGUUGUGAAUAUAAUAGAUGAAAUAGCAGUUAUCACACUUAUCACGAUUAUAAAUUUUUUUUAUUUUUGCACAAUUCAUCAAGUAAAUAAUAAUUUUAUCAAUGAAAAGUCUUAUUUAAUACAAUCUAAAAUAAUUCAUGACAUUUUAAUUUAUUUACUUAUAUAAUAAAAUAAAUUAUUAUUUUUUAUAACAUAACUCGGCAAUAUGCAUAUUUAAAAGUGUUCAAUAUGUAUAUCUAUGAAUUUUACAAUCAUGACAAAUGUAAAUGCAUGAGAUUAAAAAAAUAGUUUCACGUAUGAAAUUAUAUUUUUUUAAGUAUAUAAAAUUAAGCUCAUUAAUUUUAAAUUAACUAGAAAAAUAAUAACCAAAAGUUUUAAUAUAUUAAUUAACAAGAUACUUGUCAAUCUAACUUAAAUCAAACACAGAAAAUAUAAAAACAAUUAAAAUAACAUAAGUAAUACCAAAUUUUAAUCAUUUAAGAUUAAUUUUUUUAAAUGAGAAUAAAACAUAUACUAAACUUAUAAAAAUAAAAUUCAUUAUUCAUUGUGUAUAUUUCUCUCUCAAAAAUUUAAAAAAAUUUCUCAAAUUUCCAUUUCCCACAAAUCAUGUGUCUUUCCCUCUUAAAAUUUUUUUCCUCCUCAAAAUUUUUAUCCAAGGAAAGAGAAAAUAAAAAAUAUGAACACCCAACCAUUAUCAUUUCAUUUCAUCUUAUUUUUAAUUUUUUAAUAUUUUUCUCCUUCAAACUUUUUUCAUAUUGAUCUUUAACUUGUAUCGAAUGUAAAAAUGAAAAAUAUUUUUUGCUUGUAUUUCUAACAUUUCUCUUAUUUUUUUAUUUUUUUAAGAUUACCUUAAGGUAAAAGUUUGAUACAAACAAAACUCAUUAAAAUAAAUUCAUAUCAUUCGUUCCUAGUUAUUAAUUAAAUUCCAACCUUUAUCAAUCUUACGAAUAAAUUAAUAAUAAUGUGUAAUUUUUUGAUAUUUGAAGCCAACAAAGUUCUAUUCUUAAUUAUUUAAAUUAAAAUUUUAUUAUUUUAUUAACAAAUUAUAUGAUUAUAUUUAUGAAUGUGUUAAUAAAAGAUCAUUUGAAUAAUUUAUUAUUAUGAUGAAAAGGUUUACAUCGUAAAGGAUAGUCAUCAUGACUUAUUCUUGAAAGAAAAGAUUGUGUUCUUCAAAAUCAUAACAUACUAAGCAUUUUUUUCUAUGUCAGCAAAGGACACUUAAAAAGGAAAAGGUAUUCGUUUCCUUAUUUUAUGUGAAAGAGUGAUUUGAAGGUGAUUGCUUUUGAAGCCUGAUGGUUAGGUUUAUUGGUUUGCUUUGUUGUCCUCUUAUUGUCUCUUGCUUGUUGCAUAACAAAGAGGAAUAAUCUUUGCACUAUAUUCUUUUAAAUUGAUUUGAUUAUUGAAUAUUUAUUUCAAAUGCUUAUAAUAUAUUUUUUUUAUUUUGCCAUAAGGAGCUUUGAAGUUUCAUUUUAUAUUUUUUUUAUGGUUCAAAUAUAUUUAUUUACAUCAAAUUUAAUAAAUUUAUAAAAAAUUAUUUUUUCAUAAUUUUUUAAUUAAUUUAAAUCCGAAUAAUAAAAAAAGAUAUACAUUCUUUUUAUCAUUUGAACAAAGCAUUCCGAUAAUAAUGCUUAUAACCAUUUUAAUUUGUAUAAAAAACGAAAUCUUAUAUUAAUAACUUUUAUCAAAUAUAAACUUUAAUUUUAAAGAUGCUUUUAUUAUGCUAAAAGAAAGAGGAUGUAAGAGGCUUGUAUGUAGGUAUUCAACAAGUUGAUUUUUGUUUUAUUUUUUGAAUUUCAAUUGAAAUUUACACUUGAGAUAAUUAAAUUGGUUUUACUAUUAUUGAAUUAAUAAUUUAUUUUUUAAACUUUUAGGUUAACAACUCAAGUACUUGAUAUAUAAUCUUGAUAAUUAAUUAGCAUGUAAAAAAAAUAAAAAUACUUAAAUAAAUUAUUUAAAUGUACCAAAAAAAGUAAAGUUUGGUGAACAACUUUCAUUUUCUUUUAAAACUUUGUAAAUUAUCUCCUUAUUGAUAAUUUUUAACUUUGUUAAAAGAAAAAAAAAGGAUUAAUUUGCAAAAUAACGAUAUUUAUUUACACAAGCCAAAAGCAAUUAUGAUAAAUAAACCACAAUUUGCAUAAACCAAAGACGUACACGUUAUUCCAGUUACGGCAUAUGGCACGUUAAUCCACGUGGCAAGUAAAUCCCUAAGUAGCACAAUGAAACCUGUAAAAGCCAACGUAAUUUUAUUUUUCCCUGGCCGAAAAAAAAUAUAUGUAUAACGGCGUAAGUGAUGACGGCGCGAAACGCGAACUCUUCGCCGUUACUCAAGGAUAAGUUCCGUUAAAAAAGAAAAAAAACACUUAUAAACUAGUUUUUCUUUCUGAGUCUCAUCGUCGAAUUCUUUUGAUGAAGCGAUCGUCGCUUUAGAGCUCACUCUAAACUGGAGAAGAAUUGAAAAACUUGCUUCCUCCAUUACGCUGUUUUGCUUUUCCAACGAAACCGUAAUCGUUCUCUCUUUUCUGUUUUUGAUUUGAUCGAAACGUACAAUUGAGAGCGUUUCUUUUUCUUUGUUCGGAAUUGGAAUGGGUGAUUAUAUGAGUAGCGAUAACGAGCACUAUCACGAAGAUGAUAAUGGCGAUUUUUACGACGACGAUGGUGGAGAUGACUCUUCGGUUGGAUUUCAAGCCCUCGAGACCGAGUUGCUUUCGGCCUACGCGACCUUCCCUCCCACUAAGGUUACUCGUCAUUUUCGUUGAGAAUCACAUUUUCUUCAAAAAAGAUAUUAAUUCUUCUUUUUUUUUUUUAUCAAUUACUGUUAAAUUAAAUUAAAUUAAAUUAAAACAUCACCUCCAGGUUUUAAUGGCUAGAUCUUGAUUUUCAAUUUUUAUUUAUUUUUCUUUCUAGCUAAUAUAAUUACCGUUAGGUUUACUGAGUUAAGCAAAAAAAAAAAAAGUUCUUAUUCCUUUUUUUUUUUUUGUAAAUUUCAAUUUCUUUCACCCUCAUUUUUGCAGGUGAUCACAAAGGAGUCACUGUUGGCUGCUCAGGUAAACCCUAUAUUGUAUCUGGAAUUACAAUUUUGUCACUUUCUUUUAAUUUUAAAAUGUCGUUUUUAGAUAUAUUCGAUUUUAUAUAAAUAAUGGUUACUAACAAAUUCUAUGUUUCUUGGUGCAGAGGGAGGACUUACACAGAGUAAUGGACUUGUUGUCUUUGAAAGAACACCAUGCCAGAACAUUGCUUAUUCAUUAUUGUUGGGAUGUGGAUAAGGUGCUUGCAGUGCUUGUUGAGUAUGGUAAAGAUAAAUUGUUUGCUGCAGCAGGUGUACAAAUUCUCGAUCAUCAUGCUCUUGCCUCGUACCAGUUAUUGUCUUCUACCUUUACGUGCAAUAUCUGCUACGAGGAUGUAUUGGCCGAUAUGUUGACUGUUAUGGACUGUGGUCAUUACUUUUGCAAUGACUGUGAGUUUAGUGCCAUAAAUCAAAUUAUAUGUUUACUUUUGCUAAACCUUGGGUUCCAAUUAUGCUUAAAUAUACAUGUAACCUCGGUGUUUCUGUUGAAUUGGUCCAAUUCUGAAGUAUACUGUCGGACAGGUUUCCAUAGUUCUGAAGUUGGGUAGCUCUUUCUUUCCUGAAAACUAAUUUUCUCUUUUAAUUCUUAUAUCUGAAUGGGAAAGAUCUUGUUGGAAUAGAAAUUGACUUUUUAUUGACCCUGUGCUACAACUUGCUAAUUCUAUUCAAUUAGAAAAUUAAAGAAGAAAAAUUGAUGAAUAUAUUAAGCAAAUUCUCGGUUCUGCUUAUUUGGAGAAGAAAUGAAACUGUUAAGUUUCAUUGUACAAGUGCUUUAUGAAUCUCUUGAUGCCUGGAAAAGGAGGAGGCUGAAAUCUUUCUUAUCUGUUUCUGCUUAGGUUGGACUGAACAUUUCAUUGUGAAGAUAAAUGAGGGCCAGAGUAGACGCAUUAGGUGCAUGGCACUCAAGUGUAAUGCUGUUUGUGAUGAAGAAAAAAUCAGACAAUUAGUUAGUAUAAGGGAUCCUAAUCUUUCAGAGAAAUUUGAUCGUGUUCUUUUGGAAUCAUAUAUUGAGGAUAAUAGAAGAGUUAAAUGGUGCCCCAGUGUCCCUCAUUGCGGAAAUGCAAUACGGAUCGAGGAUGAUGAACUUUGUGAGGUUGAAUGUCCAUGUGGCAUGCAGUUUUGUUUUAGUUGUUUAUCUGAAGCUCAUUCACCUUGUUCUUGUCUCAUGUGGGAACUCUGGUCCAAGAAGUGCCAGGAUGAAUCAGAGACGGUUAAUUGGAUUACAAUCAACACAAAGCCUUGUCCAAAAUGCCAUAAGCCAGUUGAAAAGAAUGGAGGCUGCAACCAUGUAUCCUGUUUAUGUGGGCAAUCAUUUUGGUGAGAGCUCUUAUCUUUGUCUCUUGUAGAUAAUAGUUUGUGAUUUCUGUUCCAUUUUGCAACAUAAUUAAAGGUAUGGACAUAAAAUCUUGGUAAGGAAGUUUUGACUGGAGGAAUUACCAAAAAGGCCUGUCACAUUUUACUUUGAUUGCCUUCUUAUGUUUCUUGUGUGAAUGAAACUGUGUAAUUUAAUUGGUUAAUCAGAUGGAUUAUGCCAGGUGAUUUCUCUUUAUUAUUACAUGAUUUUGUAUGUUGGCUAUAAGGUCCAUUGAAAGAUAUUUGUAAAUUGUAAAUUCUUUCUUGUUUAUGCAGUUGGAUCUGUGGUACUGCUACUGGUAGAGAUCACACGUAUACCUCUAUUACUGGUCACAGUUGUGGACGAUAUAAGAACGACCAUGAGAAGAAAAGUGAGCUUGCAAGGCACUACCUUGAGCGCUAUAUUCACUACCACAAUCGAUAUAAAGCUCAUAUAGAUUCUUUAAAGCUCGAGUCAAAGCUAAAGGAAACAAUAAUUGGAAAAAUUAACAUACUGGAGGAAAAUUUAUCAACAUCUAAAGAUUUCAGUUGGAUAAUAAAUGGACUCUACAGGCUCUUUAGAUCAAGGUGCAUUCUUUCAUAUUCCUAUGCAUUUGCAUACUAUAUGUUUGGUGAUGACCAAUUCAAAGAUGAAAUGAGCAAGACAGAGAGGAAAAUAAAGCAGAAUUUGUUUGAGGACCAACAGCAACAAUUUGAGGCUAAUGUUGAGAAGCUGUCUUCAGUUUUAGAGGAGAAGUUUGAUACCUACUCUGAGAAUGACAUUUUGAGUUUUAGAAUGAGGAUCAUUGCUCUUUCCGGGACUACAGAUAAUCUCUGCCGAAAUUUGUAAGUCUCUGAUUUAAACCUUAAAGUUCUCUUUGAUCUGAUAUCACAUCUAAAUGCAUUGGAAGACUAUAAUUUAUAGUAGGUUUCUUUUAAUUGAACACUUGACUAGCAUAGUUUCAUAUAGAUGGGGGUUGUUGUUGCAGAUCAGAGUUGAGGUUUUGAUAGAGUUGAUUCAUUUUGAUUAGGGAUAGACAGAAUGUUCAAUGUAAUUUAUAUCUGUUUGUUCUUGCGUAGGUAUGAAUAUAUUGAAACGGAUUUGUUGGGUUCCCUCCAGCGGACAGUUCACAGAAUAGCACCUUACAGGUCAAAGGGUGUGGAGAAAGCCUCAUCCUAAUUGUUGGGACACUAAGAUAUGGUAGGCAUAUUGCAACUCUUUAGCACUAAUAGUUAUUGGUGUCUAUUGCUUGAUCUUUUUCCCCUCAAAUUUUAAUUUCAUGGACAUUCAGAGAUAAAUAUGACUAACAUAUAUUUCAAUAGCUACUAACCUGGGUGAAGUGAUGGAUCUUCUCGGCUAUUGUUCGGCUUCCAGAGUCAGUUGAGGUGCUGUACCUAACAAUCAAGCUGGGCGAGAAUCAGUUUGGGUACUCUACUGAACAUUCAGUGCUGAUCUGACCUUGCUGCCGGGGAAGCAUGAAGAAAAUCAUGGAUUCCUUAGCCGUCCCAAUGUAUAUAGGAAGCAGUUUAUUACAAGCAGCUACUUGCUUUUUGCAUAAAUGAUAAGGUUUAUGUCUAUAGCUCCUAUGGUGGCGUUGCCAAAAGCAGCUUUUUGCUAUUGAACAUUUUUUAUAAAUCAUUAUCAUAUAAUUGAACAGAUGCCCUUUUCGAUUACUCUCCUUUCACCAUGCUAUAUUUUUUACUUACAUAUCACUGUUUAAAAGCUUUUCUAUUUAUCUGUCCAUCUAUUUACGCAAGUGAUGAAAGAAAAGCCUAUAAACUAAGAGAUUUGAUUGUAAGACGGAGGAAUUGAAUCUUACACUUACUCUUACUCUUACCUUGAUGUAUUCUGAUGUUGGUUGUCUCAAGUUUAUUGAUCAUAAGCCCCUUAAAUGAUCAUAAUUCAUAAGUAGUCAUAAGUCAUUUUACCUACUCAAGGCCCACGACCAACUCAAUUCCAGGGGCUACCAUUGUUUCUAACGGUUUAGGUUUAAAGCUGAGGAAGUGGAUUUGGUGGCCAAAAGCAUUAAGCACCGAGGAACCGAACAGGUUCGUUUCAACAAGUAAUGUAUUAAAGUGAUCUCAAAAGAUACAUAUCAAUUCAAGCAAUAGAUUUGAGGCUGCUCCAAUUCUGCAAAAUGCUUCCUAGAAUUAUAUUUUGCUUUGCAGUUCUUUUAGCCAUUCUGGUUGUUAUUCUUUUGGCCUUGCUCUCACCGGUAGCCCACAAAAAGGCAGCAAAUAACCCAUCCAAACCUUGGCUGGCCCUGUCCUUGUACAUCCAGCAGCCACAUAUUUCAAGCUCCAGCAUCCCAUCUGUUGCCCAGUCAGAUACUGGAGCCUUUAUCUUUCACCGCGCACUCACGGAGGGACC
rnacentral:lncRNA from 1 species